rnacentral:rRNA from 1 species
AUUGAACGCUGGCGGCAGGCCUAACACAUGCAAUUCGAGCGGUAGCACAGAGAGCUUGCUCUCGGGUGACGAGCGGCGGACGGGUGAGUAAUGUCUGGGAAACUGCCUGAUGGAGGGGGAUAACUACUGGAAACGGUAGCUAAUACCGCAUAACGUCGCAAGACCAAAGAGGGGGACCUUCGGGCCUCUUGCCAUCAGAUGUGCCCAGAUGGGAUUAGCUAGUAGGUGGGGUAACGGCUCACCUAGGCGACGAUCCCUAGCUGGUCUGAGAGGAUGACCAGCCACACUGGAACUGAGACACGGUCCAGACUCCUACGGGAGGCAGCAGUGGGGAAUACUGCACAAUGGGCGCAAGCCUGAUGCAGCCAUGCCGCGUGUAUGAAGAAGGCCUUCGGGUUGUAAAGUACUUUCAGCGAGGAGGAAGGCAUUGUGGUUAAUAACCACAGUGAUUGACGUUACUCGCAGAAGAAGCACCGGCUAACUCCGUGCCAGCAGCCGCCGUAA